ensembl:misc_RNA 7SK 7SK RNA
GGAUGUGAGGGCGAUCUGGCUGCGACAUCUGUCACUCCAUUGAUCGCCAGGGUUGAUUCGGCUGAUCUGGCUGGCUAGGCGGGUGUCCCCUUCCUCCCUCACUGCUCCAUGUGCGUCCCCCCCGAAACUGCGUGCUCGGUGGGGGAGGACAACCAUCACCACUAGAAGAGGACCAGUCUUCGGUCAAGGGUGUAAGAGUAGCUGCGCUCUCCUGCCAGACCCUCCACACAAGCUCUCAAGAAUCUGGGUGUUCCUUACCCUUCUUCUCUGUGACCUCCCACUCAGCCCCAAAGGAGAGGGCUGAUUAUG